CCUACGGGAGGCAGCAGUGGCGAAUUUUGGACAAUGGGCGAAAGCCUGAUCCAGCCAUUCCGCGUGAGUGAAGAAGGCCUUCGGGUUGUAAAGCUCUUUCGGCAGGAACGAAACGGUUACGGUUAAUAAGCGUGACUAAUGACGGUACCUGAAGAAGAAGCACCGGCUAACUACGUGCCAGCAGCCGCGGUAAUACGUAGGGUGCAAGCGUUAAUCGGAAUUACUGGGCGUAAAGCGAGCGCAGGCGGUUGUGUAAGACAGAUGUGAAAUCCCCGGGCUCAACCUGGGAACUGCAUUUGUGACUGCACGGCUAGAGUGCGUCAGAGGGGGGUGGAACUCCACGUGUAGCAGUGAAAUGCGUAGAGAUGUGGAAGAACACCGAUGGCGAAGGCAGCCCCCUGGGACGAUACUGACGCUCAUGCUCGAAAGCGUGGGGAGCAAACAGGAUUAGAUACCCUGGUAGUCCACGCCCUAAACGAUGUCUACUAGUUGUUGGUCCUUAAUUGGAUCGGUAACGCAGCUAACGCGUGAAGUAGACCGCCUGGGGAGUACGGUCGCAAGAUUAAAACUUAAAGGAAUUGACGG
rnacentral:rRNA from 1 species